rnacentral:misc_RNA from 1 species
CGAGCGUCAUUACACCACUCAAGCCUCGCUUGGUAUUGGGCGACGCGGUUGAAAAGCCGCGCGCCUCUAAACGACCGGCUGGGUCGAUCGUCCCUCAGCGUUGUGGAAACAGCUCGCUAUGGGUCGCGGUCGGGCACGCCGUUAAACAAACCAACUCAAAGGUUGACCUCGGAUCAGGUAGGGAUACCCGCUGAACUUAA